rnacentral:rRNA from 1 species
AUUGAACGCUGGCGGCAGGCUUAACACAUGCAAGUCGAGCGGGCGAGGUUGCUUCGGUAACUGAGCUAGCGGCGGACGGGUGAGUAAAGCUUAGGAAUCUGCCUAUUAGUGGGGGACAACAUUCCGAAAGCGAUGCUAAUACCGCAUACGUCCUACGGGAGAAAGCAGGGGAUCACUUGUGACCUUGCGCUAAUAGAUGAGCCUAAGUCGGAUUAGCUAGUUGGUGGGGUAAAGGCCUACCAAGGCGACGAUCUGUAGCGGGUCUGAGAGGAUGAUCCGCCACACUGGGACUGAGACACGGCCCAGACUCCUACGGGAGGCAGCAGUGGGGAAUAUUGGACAAUGGCGAAAGCCUGAUCCAGCCAUGCCGCGUGUGUGAAGAAGGUCUUCGGAUUGUAAAGCACUUUAAGUUGGGAGGAAGGGCAGUAAGUUAAUACCUUGCUGUUUUGACGUUACCAACAGAAUAAGCACCGGCUAACUUCGUGCCAGCCGCCGCCGUAAAAC